rnacentral:piRNA from 1 species
GUAAGUCACAUUUGUGGAACCCACUGCA